CACACGUAAAAAUCGCGCAACUUGUCAACAAGAUGUGUUCGCAACAGGCUUGUAGCAAGCUUGUCAACAAGUUGUAACAAUGCUGUUAUUUCAUCAAGUUGCUACAAGGUUGUCACUCACAACUUGUUGACAAAUUGUUGAAUUGCAGGACGAUAACAAGUUGUUGGAACAACUUGUAACAACUCUGUCGAGCUCAACAACCUUGUAGCAAGUUGUCAUCAAGCCGUUGACAACUUGUCAACAAGCUGGGAACAAGCAGUGCGAACACAUCCUGUUGACAAGUUGUUGGAACAGCAUUGCUACAAGUCUGCUGCAGGUUUGUUACAACUUGUGCGUUUUUACAUGUGUA
rnacentral:lncRNA from 1 species